rnacentral:rRNA from 1 species
UACGAAGGGUGCAAGCGUUACUCGGAAUUACUGGGCGUAAAGCGUGCGUAGGUGGUGAGUUAAGUCUGAUGUGAAAUCCCCGGGCUCAACCUGGGAAUGGCAUUGGAUACUGGCUCGCUAGAGUGCGGUAGAGGGUGGUGGAAUUCCCGGUGUAGCAGUGAAAUGCGUAGAUAUCGGAAGGAACAUCAGUGGCGAAAGCGGCUUCCUGGUCCAGCACCGACGUUCAGGCACGAAAGCGUGGGGAGCAAACAGG